ACGACUCUCGACAACGGAUAUCUCGACUCUCGUAUCGAUGAAGAACAUAGCAAAAUACGAUACUUGGUGUGAAUUACAGAAUCCCGUGAACCAUCGAGUCUUUGAACGCAAGUUACGCCCCAAGCCAUUAGGUUGAGGGCACGUCUGCCUAGGUGUCACACAUCGUCGCCCCUAUCCAACCUUUAGCUCUCAGGCCAUGAUUUAAUUUGUGGUCGAAAAUUGGCCUUCGUGCGCUCAUAGCUAGCGAUUGACCUAAAUUUGAGUCCUUGACGACAUCAUCGUCGUGACGAUCGGUGGUAAUGCUCUAUUAGUACAGCCUCGUUCAAAGUUGUGCACGAUGGUCGAUCGAGGCCCUCGAACCCUUUCGGUAUCGCAAUGACGGUGCUCGCAUCACGACCUCAGGUCAGGCGGGAUUACCCACUGAGUUUAAGCAUAUCAAUAAGCGGAGGAAAAGAACUUAUCAAGAUUCCCUUAGUAAUGGCGAGCGAAUCGGGAAAAGCCCAGCUUGAGAAUCGGGUGCCAUCGGCAUCCGAAUUAUAGUUUGAAGAAGCGCCCUCAACGACAGACCGGGCCCAAGUCCCUUAGAAAUGGGCACCGAAGAGGGUGAGAGCCCUUUCGUGCUCGUACCCUAUCGCACCACGAGGCGCUUUCUACGAGUCGGAUUGUUUGGGAACGCAGUCCUAAUCGGGCGAUAAAUUUCGUCCAAGGCUAAAUACGAGCGAGAGACCAAUAGCGAACAAGUACCGUAAGGGAAAGAUGAAAAGGACUUUGAAAAGAGAGUCAAAGAGUGCUUGAAAUUGUCAGGAGGGAAGCGGAUUGGGGCUGGCAAUGUGCCCUGGUCUGAUAUGGAACUGUGAGAGCCAAUCCGCCGAACNNNNNNNNNNGCCCUGGUCUGAUAUGGAACUGUGAGAGCCAAUCCGCCGAACGGCUCAAGGCGUGGACCAAUGCAGGUCGUGACGGCGACCCAAGUGCGGGCUUUUGAUAUGCUCGUAGAGAUGUCGUCGCCUGUAUCAUGAGAUCCAGCAUGCAUCAUCUAGAGUGCUUAUGCACCUACGUGCUUCGGGCGUCGUCCUGUGAGCUCCCCAUUCGGCCCAUCUUGAAACACGGACCAAGGAUUCUGACAUGUAUACGAGUCAACGGGCUAGAAAACCCGUAAGGCGUAAGGAAGCUGAUUGGCGGGAUCCCUCGCGGGUGAACCGUCGAUCGACCUUGAUCUUCUGAGAAGAGUUCGAGUGAGAGCAUGCCUGUCAGGACCCGAAAGAUGGUGAACUAUGCCUAAGCGGGGCGAAGCCAAAGGAAACUCUAGUGGAGGCCCGCAGCAAAACUGACGUGCAAAUCAUUCGUCUGACUUAGGUAUAAGGGCAAAAGAGAACUGUCUAGUAGCUGGCUCCCUCCGAAGUUUCCCUCAGGAUAGCUGGAGCCCUUAACGAGUUCUAUCGGGUAAAGCUAAUGAUUAAAGGCAUCGGGGGCGCAACGCCCUCAACCUAUUCUCAAACCUUAAAUAAGUAAGAUGACGCGACUGCUUCGUUGAGCCGAACCACGAGAGCUCUAAGUUGGCCAUUUUUGGUAAGCAGAACUGACGAUGCGGGAUGAACCGGAAGCCGGGUUACGGUGCCCAACUGUGAGCUAACCUAGAACCCACAAAGGGUGUUGGUCGAUUAAGGUAGGAAGAUGGUGGUCAUGGAAGUCGAAAUCCGCUAAGGAGUGUGUAACAACUCACCUGCUGAAUCAACUACCCUUGAAAAUGGAUGGCACUUAAGCGUGCGACCUAUACCCGACCGUCGGGGCAAGGGCCAGGCCUCGAUGAGUAGGAUGGCAUGACAGUUGCCAUAAAACCCGAGGCACGAGCCCGAGCAGAGCGAUCGUCGUUGCAGAUCUUGAUGGUUGUAGCAAAUAUUCAAAUGAGAACUUUAAAGGUCGAAGAGGGGAAAGGUUCCAUGUGAACGACACUUGCACAUGGGUUAGUCGAUCCUAAAAGACGGGAGAAGCUCGUCCGAUAGCGCAUUCACCGCGAUCUUCAAAAGGGAAUCGAGUUAAAAUUAUUGAACAGGGACGCGAUGGCUGACGGUAACGUUAGGGAGUUUGAAGACGUCGAUAAGAGCCUCGAGAAGAGUUAUCUUUCUAUUUAACGGCCUGCCCACCCUGGAAACGGCUAAGCUGGAGGUUCGGUCUAGAGACCGAAAGAUCACCUCACGUCACGUGAUGUCCAGUGAGCCCCGAUGACCCUUAAAAAUUCUGAACACCGAGUGCCGUCUACGCCCGGUCGUACUCAUAAUCGCAUCAGGUCUCCAAGGUGAACAGCCUCUGGUAAAUGGAAUAAUGUAGGCAAGGGAAGUCGAUAAAAUGAAUCCGUAACCUCGGGAAAAGAUUGGCUCUGAGGGUUGGGCACGGGGGUCUCAGAGCUGCACCCGCAUGCCGGUCGGGGGACGGACUGGGAACGGCUCCCUCGGGGGCCUUCCCCUGACGAACAGUCAACUCAGAACUGGUACGGACAAGGGGAAUCCGAUUAUUUAAUUAAAACAAAGCAUUACGAUGGUCCCUGCGGAUGCUCACGCAAUGUGAUUUCUGCCAGUGCUCUGAAUAUCAAAGUGAAGAAAUUCAACCAAGCGCGGGUAAAUGACGGGAGUAACUAUGACUCUCUUAAGGUAGCCAAAUGCCUCGUCAUCUAAUUAGUGGGAGCUCUCAGGCGAAAUUGAAAUACCACUACUUUUAACAUUAUUUUACUUAUUUCGUGCAUCGGAGGCGAGGCACAGCCCCUCUUUUUGGACCCAAGGCCGGCUUUGGUCGAUCGAUCCAGGCAGAAGACAUUGUCAGGUAGGGAGUUUCGCUGGGGCGGCACAUCUAUUAAAAGAUAACGCAGGUGUCCUUAGAUGAGCUCAACGAGAACAAAAAUUUCGUGUAGAAUAAAAGGGUAAAAGUUCAUUUUAUUCUGAUUUCCAGUACGAAUACGAACAGUGAAAGCGUAGCCUAUCGAUGCUUUAGACCUUCAAAAUUUGAAGCUAGAGGUGUCAGAAAAGUUACCACAGGGAUAACUGGCUUGUGGCAGCCAAGCGUUCAUAGCGACAUUACUUUUUGAUCCUUCGAUGUCGGCUCUUCCUAUCAUUGUGAAGUAGAAUUCACCAAGUGUUGGCUUGUUCACCCACAAAUAGGGAACGCGAGCUGGGUUUAGACCAUUGUGAGACAGGUUAGUUUUACCCUACUGAUGGCCACAUCGCAAUAGUAAUUCAACCUAGUAUGAGAGGAACCGUUGAUUCACACAAUUGGUCAUCGCGCUCGAUUGAAAAUCUAGUGGCACGAAG
rnacentral:rRNA from 1 species